CUGGAGAGCCACAUGGGAGCAAGGGGCAGAAAGGAAGGGCAGAUUGAAUUUGUUUCCUACCAGACAGUUUUCCUCUGAAACUUCUCCUUCUCCAGCUGUUCCCCUCAAUGGUGCGGUUCCAGUCCCCUCCCCAGCAAGAGACAAUCAAAUACAAGCCUGGGCAAAAAGCCAAGAUUUUACACUCUUUCUAAAAGCUGUGAUGGAGACCGAGGAGUGAAUAGCCACCGAGAGAGCAUUCCAGAGUCUGGGGGCAGCAACAAAGAAGGCCCUGUCCUGCGUGCACAACAACCGAGCCUCCCUCAUUGUUGGCACCCGGAGCAGAGCCCCCUCAGAUGACCCCGUCAAGCGGGCAGCAACCCUUGGGAGCAGGCGGUCCCUCAGGUCUUGGCUAACAGUUCCAAAAGAGAGAGAACAUGCAACAGAGAUAGAGAGUGCAUCAAAGGAAGCUGCCUUAUACUGAGCGAGAUUAUUGAUCCGUACAGGUCAGAAUUGUCUACACUAACUGGCCAUGGCUAUCCAGAGAUUUUUUCCUGUCCCUACUUGGAGAUGCCAGGGACUGAACCUGCAAACUUCUGCAUGCAAAGUACUCCUCCACUGAGCUAUGGCCCCAUCGUGAAAUCAAAGAAUGGAAAGGGAAACAAAGAAUAUCUAGUGUGGUCCCUUGACCCAAAGGCUGCACCAUUCACCACUAGCCAUAGUCCUGGACAGAUUAUCCUAAACUAUCAAGAUGAACGGAGAGAAGGGACCAUAUAGAAAAGCUUUCCGUUGAACCAGCACCAAUACCUGUACAAGCACCAGGCUGAGCCCAUAAUGAAUGGGAAGCCCAUGCCGGCUGUUAUGGGGAGGAAAAGGAGGCUCUGAUAAAAGCGCCCACAGCUAUGGCGGGUGGGGCAGAAGCUGGAGCCACCCUUCCCAUCACACCUGAUAAGGCAAGCAGAGAUACAGAGGAGGUUGGUGGAGCAAUGGCUGAGACAAGGGAAGCCUGGGUUUCAGCUACAAAGAGAUAUAGCAUGGAGCCUAAGAGGCCACCCCACCCCACUGAAUGGAGGAAGAGGUCAGGGUGUGAUGACACCAGGUUGAGAUGAAGAAGCUUAGAGGUACUCCCUGUGAAGUAACAAGUUAAAAGCACCACCAUAGCCACAUGUGGUGAUUGACUAAGAGGCCCAACCAGACUAAAGGUAGGCCUAUCCUGUGAGCAAACAGGGAAGCAGACUGGACAGGAAGAUGCUGCCACUGCCCUCUAAAGGACAGGGGCUUUCUGGGAUAUAAUAAAUCUGUAAAGAUUGUACCUCUUUGUGCCUUGUCUGAUCUGUUGAACGAUGCUUCCAGGUAACUCUCUGAGUCUGGGCCCCUUUGACACUGAGCUCAUUCAAUGGAGGGAGCAAACACCCACACUGCCAAACAGAUAGCUCAAGAUGAGUCAAACCAUAUGCUACAAAGCGGGUUUGAUAACCAUCUGUCCAUGGAUAUGUAGAAUGGAAAACAGAUCAGAUGGACAUGGAUACAGGACUUCAGCUGAGUCAAGAUUUGGCCUUAUAGCAGGGGUUCAUAACAUGGGGUCCAUGCAGUAGGUCCAGGUGGUCUGUAGAACAUCUUUGCUGUACUGAAUGUAUUUUGCUUCUUGUUGAGCUAGAAUAAAGUUCUUGAAAAUAGC